rnacentral:rRNA from 1 species
UACAGAGGGGGCAAGCGUUGUUCGGAAUUACUGGGCGUAAAGGGCUCGUAGGCGGCCAACUAAGUCAGACGUGAAAUCCCUCGGCUUAACCGGGGAACUGCGUCUGAUACUGGAUGGCUCGAGAUUGGGAGAGGGAUGCGGAAUUCCAGGUGUAGCGGUGAAAUGCGUAGAUAUCAGGAGGAACACCAACGGCGAAGGCAGCUCUCUGGGACGUUACUGACGCUGAGACGCGAAAGCGUGGGGAGCAAACAGG